rnacentral:rRNA from 1 species
UACGUAGGUGGCAAGCGUUGUCCGGAAUUAUUGGGCGUAAAGCGCGCGCAGGCGGUCCUUUAAGUCUGAUGUGAAAGCCCACGGCUCAACCGUGGAGGGUCAUUGGAAACUGGGGGACUUGAGUGCAGAAGAGGAAAGCGGAAUUCCACGUGUAGCGGUGAAAUGCGUAGAGAUGUGGAGGAACACCAGUGGCGAAGGCGGCUUUCUGGUCUGUAACUGACGUUGAGGCGCGAAAGCGUGGGGAGCAAACAGG